CUGAGUGCACACAAUUAGUAUGUACGCGGCCCCUGUGACGUCGGACAGGGCAAAGAUCCGGACUGUGAGCUUCACGAGACGCUGGAAUCAUCAAGGUGAGUAAAAAAAACUUCCCCCCAGCUUUUAUUGCAAACAGAGGGGCCAGUCCAUAGUGCCCCCGUAACCAGUAACAUAUCCCUUUAAGUUAAAGUUGUUUUGGUGCUUAGAGUCUCCCUUAAAUAUUCAUGUGCCCCAGUGUUUUAUUAUACCUUGACAUUCCGCAGGUGGGUGACAGCCUCGUUACUGCAGCCAUGUAAUGCACUCCGUGGUUGUUUAGCGUUUUGUAAAUUUGGAUUUUCUUGCAGGACAUCUGUAUCUCUUGGAAACAGGAAAUAUCUCUGGUCUCUGCCAACAUCCAACAGCUUGGGUGCCUGUAUACUACAGACGGUGGAAAGAGAAAUGUGUCUUUUGUUUUUUUUGUACAUACG